GCCAUCAUAGCUCAGUUGCAGAGCGCUGUUCUUGUAAACCAGGGGUCGUGAGUUCGUUCCUCAUUGUUGGGUUUGCA